AACGAACGCUGGCGGCAUGCCUAACACAUGCAAGUCGAACGAGACCUUCGGGUCUAGUGGCGCACGGGUGCGUAACGCGUGGGAACCUGCCCUUAGGUUCGGAAUAACUCCCCGAAAGGGGUGCUAAUACCGGAUAAUGUCUUCGGACCAAAGAUUUAUCGCCUUUGGAUGGGCCCGCGUUGGAUUAGCUAGUUGGUAGGGUAAAAGCCUACCAAGGCGACGAUCCAUAGCUGGUCUGAGAGGAUGAUCAGCCACGCUGGGACUGAGACACGGCCCAGACUCCUACGGGAGGCAGCAGUGGGGAAUAUUGGACAAUGGGCGAAAGGCUGAUCCAGCAAUGCCGCGUGAGUGAUGAAGGCCUUAGGGUUGUAAAGCUCUUUUACCCGGGAUGAUAAUGACAGUACCGGGAGAAUAAGCUCCGGCUAACUCCGUG
rnacentral:rRNA from 1 species